rnacentral:rRNA from 1 species
GUGUCAGCAGCCGCGGUAAUACGUAGGGGGCGAGCGUUGUCCGGAAUCAUUGGGCGUAAAGCGCGCGCAGGCGGCCUGCAGAGCCCGGCGUGAAAGCCCCCGGCUCAACCGGGGGAGGCCGUCGGGGACCUGUGGGCUGGAGGCCGGCAGGGGAGAGCGGAAUUCCCGGUGUAGUGGUGGAAUGCGUAGAGAUCGGGAGGAACACCAGUGGCGAAGGCGGCUCUCUGGGCCGGUCCUGACGCUCAGGCGCGAAAGCGUGGGGAGCGAUCCGGAUUAGAUACCCGCGUAGUCC